rnacentral:rRNA from 1 species
AUUGAACGCUGGCGGCAUGCCUUACACAUGCAAGUCGAACGGCAGCGGGCCCUUCGGGGUGCCGGCGAGUGGCGAACGGGUGAGUAAUGCAUCGGAACGUACCCGGGAGAGGGGGAUAACCGGCCGAAAGGCUGGCUAAUACCGCAUGAACUCGGAAGAGCAAAGCGGGGGACCUUCGGGCCUCGCGCUCUCGGAGCGGCCGAUGUCCGAUUAGGCUAGUUGGUGGGGUAAAGGCCCACCAAGGCGACGAUCGGUAGCGGGUCUGAGAGGACGAUCCGCCACACUGGGACUGAGACACGGCCCAGACUCCUACGGGAGGCAGCAGUGGGGAAUCUUGGACAAUGGGCGCAAGCCUGAUCCAGCAAUGCCGCGUGGGUGAAGAAGGCCUUCGGGUUGUAAAGCCCUUUCGGCGGGGAAGAAAUCGGUCAGGCGAAUAGUCUGGCUGGAUGACGGUACCCGCAGAAGAAGCACCGGCUAACUACGUGC